GACGAACGCUGGCGGCGUGCCUAAUACAUGCAAGUCGAGCGGACCUCUUCGGAGGUCAGCGGCGGACGGGUGAGUAACACGUGGGCAACCUGCCUGUAAGACUGGGAUAACUUCGGGAAACCGGAGCUAAUACCGGAUAAUCCUUUCUGACUCCUGUCGGGAAGCGGAAAGGCGGGUUCGGCUGUCACCUACAGAUGGGCCCGCGGCGCAUUAGCUAGUUGGUGGGGUAAUGGCCGACCAAGGCGACGAUGCGUAGCCGGCCUGAGAGGGGGAUCGGCCACACUGGGACUGAGACACGGCCCAGACUCCUACGGGAGGCAGCAGUAGGGAAUCUUCCGCAAUGGACGAAAGUCUGACGGAGCAACGCCGCGUGAGCGAAGAAGGCCUUCGGGUCGUAAAGCUCUGUUGUCAGGGAAGAACAAGUAUCGGAGUAACUGCCGGUACCUUGACGGUACCUGACCAGAAAGCCACGGCUAACUACGUGCCAGCCGCCGCAGUAACAC
rnacentral:rRNA from 1 species